rnacentral:rRNA from 1 species
GAUGAACGCUGGCGGCGUGCUUAACACAUGCAAGUCGAACGGAAAGGCUCCUGCUUGCAGGGGUACUCGAGUGGCGAACGGGUGAGUAACACGUGGGUGAUCUGCCCUGCACUUCGGGAUAAGCCUGGGAAACUGGGUCUAAUACCGGAUAGGACGAUGGUUUGGAUGCCAUUGUGGAAAGUUUUUUCGGUGUGGGAUGAGCUCGCGGCCUAUCAGCUUGUUGGUGGGGUAAUGGCCUACCAAGGCGUCGACGGGUAGCCGGCCUGAGAGGGUGUACGGCCACAUUGGGACUGAGAUACGGCCCAGACUCCUACGGGAGGCAGCAGUGGGGAAUAUUGCACAAUGGGCGCAAGCCUGAUGCAGCGACGCCGCGUGGGGGAUGACGGCCUUCGGGUUGUAAACUCCUUUCGCUAGGGACGAAGCGCAAGUGACGGUACCAGGAGAAGAAGCACCGGCUAACUACGUG